GAGCCGCGGUAGCCGAGAGGGAAGGGAAGCGGUGUCCGAGUCGUAGUAAGUAACACCGGAGAGCACCGGGGCAGGUCGAUGCUCGCUGCGGGGCCGAACCCCGGCAGAAGCAUAAAGUGGCCUGGACCUGUCCCAAGGUAGCCAUCUGAAAGAACCUCUUCAAGUAGUAAAAGAUAUGCAAACUCUGGUAUCUGUUCCUGUGCCGAUUCGAUGAUAUGCACAUCUUUCCAAUGUGACUGAAAUGCAGAGCAUGCUGGUGAUACUAUCUCUGGAGAGACAUCUGAAGUUAUUAGUGUGGACAUCAAACAUCACCUUAAACUAUUUGGGGUUAAAAACAGGUGUGUCCUACAUUAGUCAAGAUUGUGAAGAAAUUCCAGAAUUCCUAGGAAGAAAAUAUGGACAUAUGGCAAAAAGGCUAGAUCUUAGCUUCAACUUGUUAAGAGAGGAGAGGGAGUUUCAGUCUCAGGGGGUUAGUUCUUUUCUUUCCAAGACUCAAGGACAGUGGAUGCAACAGCAAGAUCUUUUGGACAAUUCCAAAAACUAUCCUGAAGUCUACAAAAUUAUUCUUCGUAGUUCUAGUGAAAACCUGUUACUGGGUGAGAGAGAUCUGGGGCUGCAGAAGAGGAUUUUCAAGAAGUUUUCUGUCCUUGUUGUAACAUGGUGUGCUCACCCAUGCUUGAUCUGUUAAACAGAAGUUAUAUAGCUGAAUUUCACUCGCCCAUUUUUGAAAACUGUAGUAUAUAGGUAGUCCAUUUGAAAUGGAUCUGUGUUUGACAGGUUGUAGUUCUGUCCUUUGGCAGGCUGUUUUCAUUUUUCCUCCCCCUUAUUUUGUUUGCAUAUUUUGUUUUUGUUGCAUUAUGCUAUUUAAUAUUUAUCUUCUUUUUCAUUAAUCAAAAAAUACUAAUCUCAUCAAUAUGUGUUUCAUGUAUUAGCCUACUCCUAUGGUUCGACAAGUAAUGGGAAUUUAUUAAAUACAUGAAUUCAAGAGAAGUUUUGAAUCAUCUUGGAUAUCUGUCUCUGAAAUUCCUGUCAGCAUGUAAUGAGAAAAGUGUUUUGGGAUAUAUAAGCUCUGAGUUAGGUUGGAAAUACGUAUUGUUGAAUAAAUUGUGUCUACUGUUUGAAGUGGGAGGAAUA
rnacentral:lncRNA from 1 species